AUUCUGCCAGUAGUCAUAUGCUUGUCUUAAAGAUUAAGCCAUGCAUGUCUAAGUAUAAGCACUUGUACGGCGAGACUGCGAACGGCUCAUUAAAAUCAGUUAUAGUUUAUUUGAUGGUCAACUUACUUGGAUAACUGUGGAAAAUCUAGAGCUAAUACAUGCAACCAGGCUCUUAGGAGCUGGAUUUAUUGGCAUAAAAACCAAACCAGCCUCGUGCUGGUUAGUGGUGAAGCACGAUAACUAACCGGAUCGCACAGCCUUGAGCUGGCGACAGAUCAUUCAAAUUUCUGCCCUAUCAACUUUCGAUUGUAGUGUAGUGGCCUACAAUGGUGACAACGGGUACGGAGAAUUAGGGUUCGGUUCCGGAGAUGGAGCCUGAGAAACGGCUACAACUUCCAAGGAAGGCAGCAGGCGCGCAAAUUACCCAAUCCUAACGCAGGGAGGUAGUGACAAUAAAUAACAAUGCAGGCCCCGAUAAGGGGCUUGCAAUUGGAAUGAGUGUAAUUCAAACACCUUAACAAGGAACAAUUGGAGGAAAAGUCUGGUGCCAGCACCCGCGGUAAUUCCAGCUCCAAUAGCGUAUAUUAAAGUUGUUGCAGUUAAAAAGCUCGUAGUUGGAUUGCAGAGUAGUGAGCGCCCGGUCCACCAGCAAAAGGUGUGCACUGGUGCUUACGCUCUUCCUUCUGGUAACUUGUCCCGCUUCUUCACUGAGGCGGGAGCACAGCACCAGAUCAUUUACCUUGAAAAAAUUAGAGUGUUUAAAGCAGGCCGCCGCGCUUGAAUAGAUUAGCAUGGGAUAAUAGAGUAGGAUCGCCAGCCUAUUUUGUUGGUUUUUAGGUUGGAGAUAAUGAUAAAUAGAGACAAUCGGGGGUAUUUAUAUUAGGCUGCUAGAGGUGAAAUUCUUGGAUUAGCCAAAGAUAGACUACUGCGAAAGCAUUUACCAAGGGUGUUUUCAUUGAUCAAGAACGAAAGUUAGGGGAUCGAAGACGAUCAGAUACCGUCGUAGUCUUAACCAUAAACUAUGCGGACCAGGGAUUGGAGGAUGUUACAUGGAGCCUGCGGCUUAAUUUGACCCAACACGGGGAAACUUGCCCGGUCAAGACACAGGAAUGAUUGACAGAUUGAGAGCUCUUUCUUGAUUCUGUGGGUGGUGGUGCAUGGCCGUUCUUAGUUGGUGGA
rnacentral:rRNA from 1 species